rnacentral:rRNA from 1 species
UACGUAGGGUGCAGGCGUUAAUCGGAAUUACUGGGCGUAAAGCGUGCGCAGGCGGUUUCUUAAGUCAGAUGUGAAAGCCCCGGGCUUAACCUGGGAACUGCGUUUGAAACUGGGAGACUAGAGUGUGGCAGAGGGGGGUGGAAUUCCACGUGUAGCAGUGAAAUGCGUAGAGAUCGUAAGGAAGACCAGUGGCGAAGGCGGGUCUCUGGACAGUUCCUGACACUGAGGCACGAAGGCCAGGGGAGCAAACGGG